UAAUAAAUAAUAAAAAUAAUAAUAAAUAAUAAAUAAUACAGAUAUAAAAAAUAUUAAACGUUCAGCAAGAAGUGAGAACCAGAGUAUAAAGGAACUCGGAAGAAGAAAUUCAAUGUUUACCAAACAAGUAUCGAGGCAGACCAGAAAAUAUUAUCGAACAGUUUUUAGGGUCCCAUUCGACAUAAGAUGUUCUCUGCCCCUGGCUUUCUUGUUCCCAAGCCUCGUCGCGUGCAAAGAGUUUCACUUUCGCUUGACUUCUUCGAUCGCCUGCAGAACGAUGUAGAAAUGUAAAUGUAAAAAUGGCGACCGGUGAUCCUGCAGAAGAGAGAUCGACGCGAUCGAAGGAAGCUGCGGAAGCGAGAUCGAGGUGAUCGGAAGAAGCUGCGGAAACGGUUCCGUUCGACCGAGAGGAACGUGAGAGGAGAAUAAUUGAUAGAUCGAUCGUUAACUGUAUAAUUGUAACUUAAUUAUGACCUUUUAGAAAGCAUACUUUUUCUUUCCUAUGAUCACUAUUCAGUAUCGCCUUCAUCGGGAAACGUUAACGCGUUUGCUGGAGGUUCACUUUGUCGAUUGAAAAAGCGAGAAAUAGAAGCUGAUCGUUACGAAAAUGGUUUGAGAAUAAAAGCGUCCGAGAAUUUCGAGGACUGUCAAGAUGGCAUCGUUGGAGAACAACGAAGUUAGUGUGUGCGUUCAAAUGUAAUUAUUUUAGAGUCGAUUGUAAAUGUUUGAGCUUCUAAUAAUUGUUACGAUAAUCGAAAUGUAUCUCUGUACGUUAAAGCGUAAAUAUCAAGUAAAUUGUUAAUACCUA